CAAGGUACACCACAUCCACCGGUCUCCCCACAUACACAGAGCCAGUCACCUUGUCAUAGAAGGCAAUCAGGUUGGUCAAGCAUGACUUGCCCUUGGUAAACCCAUGCUUCCCUUCACUGCAAUUUAGAACUGAUAAUAAUUUUCAGCACUAUCAGUGAGUUUGGCUGUGAAGGAGUGGGGAAUUUAUAUAUUUUCCUAACCACCUACCUAGCCAUCUGAUUUGAGUAUUGUUAGCCAGUAUGGUAUGCUGCAUUCUGGGUUGAUGAAUCUCCCUUUAUAAGAAAUCUCCUGUAUUUUUUAAUUUUACAUUUUGUUCCUAUUCAGAGGAAGACUUAUGGAUUGGAAUAUAAAACAAACCAUGCUAUUACCUGAAGAAAUAAGAUCAUUCUACAGGGAUGACCCUACAAAACAAAAGAAAUGAUCAGGGCUGUUGAAGGACAAGACUGCCACAGGAAAACAUUUUCAAAGAGCAUUCUGAUCCCACCAACUGAAGAACCACUAGGAACAGUUGUGCACCAACAGGAAUGAUAAAGUUUGAAGACUGGGGACACACACCAGGAAUUAAAUUUGCCUCAGGAUCUUUGGGAAGCUGGAAAUUAAUGGUACCAAAUUAUGGCCAAAGGACACUGUUAUACAGUUGAAUAAUAAACUGCGUAUUUUCUUUAAGAAACUCAUCCUUGUUGCAGUGAUGUUGCAUGGAGCAGAUUUUCUACCUAGACUAAAAUAGCUAUAUUGAGCUACAACCACUAACAUGCCUCAAAACUGACACUAUGCAAUGGUACAGGAUUGAUGGAUAGCCAUCUAAACCCCUCUCCAACACACAGGAUAUUGCCUGGAAACUCAUCAGUUCACCAUGUGAUGUUUUCCUAAACAUGCUUUCUCUCUAAUAGGUUUUCUCCAAAAUAGGGGGAUAAUAGGACCUUUUCUAUGCAUUGCAUAUUUGGAAAUUGCCAACAGUACAGCCUAAGCCCAGUCUUGAAGUAUCUCUUGGCAAAUUGUUAGACUAAUGGGUACAACAGAACCUCCCAUAACCAGCAAAACAAUGUGCCCCUUGAGCAAAACAGGACAGGGUUCAGUAUUUCUAUAGGCCGCCACCAUUUUAAGAACCAGUUAGCAAAUGCCUGUGGAAACCUUCCAGUUGACAGGAGCUAAAUGAUCAGUUUCUUUAAGGUAAUGCUCAGCAUGAAGCCUUAAGAAAGUUACGGAGUCUGAAGGGAGGAGAGAGUGCUCAUUACACCAGACUAUCAGAUAUAAAGCUAUUGUUCUAUGGAUAUAAUUUUUUGUUUUCUUUUAGCAGCCACUAGUUUGGUGGGUUUUAGUACAUACCAUAUUAUGGUGUGGAGGAACCUUCAUAGAACAUCAAAGGACUUUCUCGGAUGGGGCCCAGGUACAUUGUAUUAUUUCCCAAUAUUGUUGUUUGUUUUUCUAUGAGGUUUAGCCAUGUUGUGAUUUGUGGUUUACAUGCUUGUGAAAUCUUGUAAUGUGUGUGGCUAUUGUCAUGCUUGUUGUGCAGUUGACAGCUGCAUCAUUUUCUGGUUGCAUAACAUUUAAAAACAACAAAGAGAAAGCCAUGGAAAGACAUUUUAUAUCCUGAAAUCUAAAAUUACUUUGCUAGAUGGAAGUCGUAACAGUUUUGUUGGAGGUAGCCCUGUGGUGAAAGGCACCAGGGGCAGAUCUGGGAUGUUCCAAAGGAACUACGGGAGCAACAACCUACACUGCAAGGGUGGUUGCACCCACUGCUUGCCGCCUCCUCUGAUCCCACCAGUGCCAGCAGAAUUUUUUAAGUCUCUAAAGCAGAUGAAAAUCCCUGCUCUCUUCCCCUUCCCAUUCAGAGACAUGUCCCCAUCCCUACCUUUGCCUCCCCUACCCCUCCACUGCUUGUUGCUGCUGUUUUCUCCACUGUUCGAGGACAGGGAAGCACCACAGUUCAGCUGGGCUGAGCAGGGGCUGGGCUCAGCUGAGGAGAGGACAGCGGCAACAAAGUGGCUAGAGAGUAGUUUCCCCCACCUUGCCUGGUCCUGGAGCAGGAAAAGGGACUCCAUCCUGUCCAUCCUUGCUGUCAUUGUCUGUCUCCAGUUGAGCCCAGCCCAGCCGCGGCAGGAACAUCUCUGGUGCUUCCCAGCCCCUGGGACAGUGGGGAAAGUCAGGCAGCGGGAAGGGACUGGGAAGAGUGUGCCCUUGAGCAGGAAGGGGAAGGGAGAGAGGAUUUUCACCUGCUUUAGGGAUUUAAAAAAAAAAAAUCCUUGGAAGCCCCUGUGGUGAGUUCCAAUCCAAAAGAAGGGGUGCAGUCAUGCCACUGC